GAUGAAGAACGUAGCGAAAUGCGAUACGUAAUGUGAAUUGCAAAUUCAGUGAAUCAUCGAGUCUUUGAACGCACAUUGCGCCCCCUGGUAUUCCGGGGGGCAUGCCUGUCCGAGCGUCAUUGCUGCCCUCAAGCACGGCUUGUGUGUUGGGCCCCGUCCUCCGAUCCCGGGGGACGGGCCCGAAAGGCAGCGGCGGCACCUCGUCCGGUCCUCGAGCGUAUGGGGCUUUGUCACCCGCUCUGUAGGCCCGGCCGGCGCUUGCCGAUCAACCCAAAUUUUUUAUCCAGGUUGACCUCGGAUCAGGUAGGGAUACCCGCUGAACUUAAGCAUAUCAAUAAGCGGAGGA
rnacentral:misc_RNA from 1 species